rnacentral:lncRNA from 1 species
CAGCUCAUUAGCAUUUCCCCACCCGGGCGCCGCGACCUCGCGAGGGCACGGGGCUUGAGGGGUGAGGGUGAGGGACAGACUGAGAGAGCCCUCCCUGCACUGUCCUCCUGCCACCCCCGAACCGUGUCCCCCUCCGCCGCAGGUGGAGAAUGGCAAGAAGCGCUCUUGCAUUGUGGGCUUCCAGAGGUCCAGCUCUGCAUUUGGAGGAGAGAGAAGGGAGCAGCCACCGCCUGCCAAGACUGCGAGUGAUUCAUUCAACAUGGCAGUUCCCAUACUCAUCGCACAAGGCGUGGACGACACAAAGAGAUGGCUUGCCUGCAAGAGACCCAGCUGGUCCAGAGUCGGAGGCACAUUUCAUUUCUCUGGCCAGCUGGAGAGGCGGCCGGAGCAGACGAGGAGAUCGCCUCUAAUGUUCUAAAUGUCAAUAUGGUCCCUACUGGCUGACUCGCCAAGAUUUGAUCAGCAAAUUGGCCUGCGUGAUGUGUUCCCUGCAAUGCACGGUGUGUGUUUAAAUCUUUCAACAGUGUCAUGAAAGAAGCUGAAGAACAGUAAACAAUUCUCAGUGGAAGUGGU